rnacentral:lncRNA from 10 species
UUCAGGCCUUGAAGGGAUUUGGAUGAUGCCCACCUGCUCUGGGGAAGGCUCACUGUCUUACUGAGUCCAUUGAUUCCUGCGCUAAUCUCCGCUGAAACACCCUUACAGACACGUCCAUAAAUAAUGUUUAAUCUGGGCAUCCUUCAGCCCAGGCAAGUUGACAUAUAAGCUGUGGCCUUCUCUGGAAUUGAGGACCCUCAGAACACUGCUGGCACCCUAGACCUUCCACAGAGCUUGGCCCAAUGAAUGAAUGAUGGGAACUUGGACGCAAGAGCAAUGUCACAAGGGGUUAUGGCUGACCUGACUGUGACACCCCCAGCCCCCACCUGAGGAAGAGGCAACAGCUCCGGCACCUGUUUCUGACCUAGGGGCCAGGUGAUGGCCCGGCUCCACACCACAUCAGGCCUGAGUGUGGGAAAGCGUUGCGGCCAGGAGCCAUCUGGGAGCUUGAAACAGAGCUGUGCUCUCCUCUGAGCUGUCUGGUUUCAAUUAAACCCAUGGCUAAAACCUCCACCAGGCGUGUCCAUUUGGG